GCCCGGAUAGCCUAGUCGGUUGGGGCGCCAGACUCAUAGGGAAAUAAAUGACGGCGUCUUGUUGGAAUUUCAAAAUUCCUGAGACAUCUGGAGGUCGCGUGUUCGAGUCACGCUCCGGGCA
rnacentral:tRNA from 1 species